rfam:Flavobacterium spartansii strain MST NODE_3_length_580379_cov_49.0781, whole genome shotgun sequence.
AAGGCGUAACCUGAAAAGCCUGUGAUAGAGUAAGGA